CACAAACAAAACAGUGUUGUUACCUUCUGCUAUUGUAAAAUUGUUUUUCUGUACCUUGUUAGCAGUGUCAAUCUGUUGAGGAUAAGAACUGUUUUAGGUAAUCCACAGUUACAUUCAAACGCACAUAUAAAUAGUCCUCCAGUGUAUCACAUGUCCCUGUAAAACAUUGUGCAAUCCAAACGAACAGUGGUCCUUUAUGUAAUGCCUUUCUUUCUUUAUAACUAGUGUUAAUAAAUAAGCUUUAGCCUUUGUCUUUGCUUAUAGACAUCAAGAAUCUGAUUUCAAGCCAGGGCUCACACAGACUUGAUGUAAAGUCUAAAUGAGGAGAGUGGUAAUGCUGGCGAAUGCGCUGCGAUGGGACCGCCACCUGUCUGGAUUGCAGGAGAAAUAUUGUUUGUCAAGCUUCAAGUUUAAAUCCAAGUUGAGUCAUUUGGCUGGUUUAUGUCUCCUGUGUAGAGGUGUAGCUUCACAAAAUGCCUACUGCCUGCAGGAAGAACUCCCUCCGAACAGAUUCUCUACCUGAGCAUCAGGGAAGGAAAUAAAUCUGGAACUGGUGACAUUUCAAGGACAAGGAAAACAAC
rnacentral:lncRNA from 1 species